rnacentral:rRNA from 1 species
AAAUAGGGACUUGUAUGAAUGGCCACACGAGGGCUUUACUGUCUCUUACUUCCAAUCCGUGAAAUUGACCUUCCCGUGAAGAGGCGGGAAUACGACAAUAAGACGAGAAGACCCUGUGGAGCUUUAAUUAAUCGACCCAAAGAGACCUUAAUAACCAACCGACAGGAACAACAGACCUCUGCCAUGGGCCGACAAUUUAGGUUGGGGUGACCUCGGAGAAUAAAACAACCUCCGAGUGAUUUAAAUCUAGACUAACCAGUCGAAAGUAUUACAUCACUUAUUGAUCCAAAGCUUGAUCAACGGAACAAGUUACCCCAGGGAUAACAGCGCAAUCCUACUUCAGAGUCCAUAUCGACAAUAG